CCUACGGGAGGCAGCAGUGGGGAAUAUUGCACAAUGGGCGCAAGCCUGAUGCAGCCAUGCCGCGUGUAUGAAGAAGGCCUUCGGGUUGUAAAGUACUUUCAGCGGGGAGGAAGGGAGUAAAGUUAAUACCUUUGCUCAUUGACGUUACCCGCAGAAGAAGCACCGGCUAACUACGUGCCAGCAGCCGCGGU
rnacentral:rRNA from 1 species